CUUUUUUUUUUUCCCAUUGCAUUCUCUGUUUUGGAAUUUGCUAUGUAAAACAGGCUGGUCUGGAAUGCACAGGUCUGAAUUCUGGGCAUGCCUAGUGUGUGCCUUCUUAGAACUAGCCCUUCCAGUAGGUAGAAUGCCAGUGUGAGUACCUUUAGCGUCUUCUACUUUGGCUGUAUUUGUCAUUUUAGUUAGGCACCCAUGGCUGCUAAGCUGAAAAUCUCUAAUGUUUCAGAUAUGAAAUCACUUACCUAUGGGUAUGAUUUCAUGUUUCAGUUAGUAACAAACUGUAAGAAAACUUGAUUAUUUAAAGUCAUUUACAAUGAGAAAUAAUGACAUAUACUGUUUGCUCAUAUCAAUCUUGUGAAUUAUGGAAUCUACUUUUGCUAAAAGGUCAGUUAUUCUCAACAGGUGUUGGUCAUAUAGAGCCUUUCCAAAUUAUUUGUGUGUUCUGCUUUAAAAGAUUUAGAAUUACUAUUUGGGAAAUGACCCUCUAGCUCAGUCUUAUAGGUGGAUAGGGAAGGAAUAGGGAUUUGAUUAUAAUUUCCUAGUACUAGGCAAAUUUAUUCAAAUAACUGAACUUUACGACUAGAAUGCAGGAACUAGGCAGUAGUGGAACAUGUCUUUAAUCCUAACCAGCAGCCCCCCCAGCAGAGCACCGGCUUUCCACGUAGCAGUCAGCCUUAUUACAACAGUCGCGGUGUAUCUCGAGGAGGGUCUCGUGGUGCCAGAGGUUUGAUGAAUGGAUACAGGGGCCCUGCCAAUGGAUUUAGAGGAGGAUAUGAUGGUUACCGCUCUUCAUUCUCCAACACUCCAAACAGUGGCUAUACACAGUCUCAGUUCAAUGCUCCCCGGGACUACUCUGGCUACCAGCGGGUAUGUAAAUAUAGGGUAAUUAAGUGAUUUGGGGUUAGUUUUAUGGUGUCCAUCAUGCAUUGUUAUAUGACUUUGGCUUUUUGAUUGUUUGUUUGAAAAAAA
rnacentral:lncRNA from 1 species